rnacentral:rRNA from 1 species
CCUACGGGAGGCAGCAGUAGGGAAUUUUCGUCAAUGGGCGCAAGCCUGAACGAGCGAUGCCGCGUGAGUGAAGAAGGCCUUCGGGUCGUAAAGCUCUGUUGCGGGGGAAAAAAGGCAGCAUCAGGAAAUGGGUGCUGACUGAUGGUGCCCCGCCAGAAAGUCACGGCUAACUACGUGCCAGCAGCCGCGGUAAUACGAAGGUGGCGAGCGUUAUCCGGAAUGAUUGGGCGUAAAGGGUGCGCAGGCGGUCCUGCAAGUCUGGAGUGAAACGCAGGAGCUCAACUAAUGCAUGGCGUUGGAAACUGGAGGACUGGAGAGCAGGAGAGGGCGGUGGAACUCCAUGUGUAGCGGUGAAAUGCGGAGAUAUCUGGAAGAACACCAGUGGCGAAGGCGGCCGCCUGGACUGUUGCUGACGCUGAGGCACGAAAGCGUGGGGAGCAAAUAGGAUUAGAUACCCGAGUAGUC